GAUGAACGCUAGCUACAGGCUUAACACAUGCAAGUCGAGGGGUAACGAGAGGAAAGCUUGCUUUCCUUGUCGACGACCGGCGCACGGGUGAGUAAUGCGUAUCCAACCUGCCCCCAACUAAGGAAUAACCUUGCGAAAGUAAGACUAAUACCUUAUAAUUUCCUCAGAUGUCAUCUGACGAGGAAUAAAGAUUUAUCGGUUGUGGAUGGGGAUGCGUCUGAUUAGCUUGUUGGCGGGGUAACGGCCCACCAAGGCAACGAUCAGUAGGGGUUCUGAGAGGAAGAUCCCCCACAUUGGAACUGAGACACGGUCCAAACUCCUACGGGAGGCAGCAGUGAGGAAUAUUGGUCAAUGGGCGGAAGCCUGAACCAGCCAAGUAGCGUGCAGGAUGACGGCCCUAUGGGUUGUAAACUGCUUUUUUACAGGAAUAAAGUUAGCCACGUGUGGUUAUUUGUAGGUACUGUAUGAAUAAGGACCGGCUAAUUCCGUGCCAGCCGCCGCCGUAA
rnacentral:rRNA from 1 species